rnacentral:rRNA from 1 species
UACGAAGGGGGCUAGCGUUGCUCGGAAUCACUGGGCGUAAAGGGUGCGUAGGCGGGUAUUUAAGUCAGGGGUGAAAUCCUGGAGCUCAACUCCAGAACUGCCUUUGAUACUGAAGAUCUUGAGUUCGGGAGAGGUGAGUGGAACUGCGAGUGUAGAGGUGAAAUUCGUAGAUAUUCGCAAGAACACCAGUGGCGAAGGCGGCUCACUGGCCCGAUACUGACGCUGAAGCGCGAAAGCUAGGGGAGCAAACGGG